AAGUCGUAACAAGGUCUCCGUAGGUGAACCUGCGGAGGGAUCAUUAACAAAAGUUUACUAAACAUAAACUUUUUUAACAAACAAAUAGAAACAUUAAGGAAAACUAUAUAUUGAAAUAUAUAUAUAGCAACCUUAAGAUUCUCUCCCUAUUUUACAAUAUUUAUUAUUGUAAUUAGGCUAUUUCUUCUUAAUUAACCCCUUUCCAACUUCAUAUAUAUUAGUGUAAUACUACAUAUGUAUGAUAUAUCUGACUGAAUCUAUAUAUGUUAAUUCAUAUAUAAAUACUUAAGAUAAUCUAAGCACAACUCUUAGCAACGGAUAUCUUGGUUCUC
rnacentral:misc_RNA from 1 species